AUAUCAGUCAUGCAUAGCAUAUCAAUAAGCGGAGGAAAAGAAACUAACAAGGAUUCCCUUAGUAACGGCGAGUGAAGCGGGAAGAGCUCAAAUUUGAAAUCUUCAAGGUUUUACCUUGACGAAUUGUAGUUUAAAGAAGUGUUUUCUGUUGAAGUUUUGGUAAAAGUUCUUUGGAAUAGGACAUCAUAGAGGGUGAGAAUCCCGUAUUUGACCAUUACUUUCAGCUUUGUGAUACACUUUCAAAGAGUCGGAUUGUUUGGGAAUGCAGUCCAAAAUGGGUGGUAAAUUUCAUCUAAAGCUAAAUAUUGGCGAGAGACCGAUAGCGAACAAGUACCGUGAGGGAAAGAUGAAAAGAACUUUGAAAAGAGAGUUAAACAGUACGUGAAAUUGUCAAAAGGGAAGCGUUUGACACCAGUGUUGUUUUCUCGAAAAUUAAUUAAAAAGAGUUGGAUUUUGUGUUGUAUUGACUUUAUCGGCUUUCUUCACUCUUUUCCAGCUUUUUUUAAUGCACUUUUCGUUUAACAAGUCAACAUCAGUUUCUUUUGUUGUAAAAAGGUCAUUGGAAGGUGGCUUUCUCUUCGGAGAAAGUGUUUAUAGCCUUUGACUCAUGCAAUCGGAGAGACUGAGGUCUGCAGCGUAGAUCCUUCGGGGUUAGAUACAUUUGUGCUAAGUUAUAGCUUUUCAUAGACAACUUGUUGACUAUGUUUAGUCUUGUAGCUUACUCGCUUAUGCUAUUUUACCUACGCUUAGGAUGUUGAACUCUAUCACACACAG
rnacentral:rRNA from 1 species